AGAGCCAUGAGAAUAAAUAGAGGUGUAAGUUUUUUUAAUAAAAAAAAAAACAACAUUGUUCAAAGAUCUUCAUAAAACUGUUAUUUUCAUCAAAGGCAUCUUCUCAUCUCUCCUUUUGCAAACAUCUGAAAGACAUUUCCACAACUGCGACUUUGAAUUCAUCGAGUACUUAGCCAAUAUAUGUAAAUGGGUUUGACAUCUAAUUUCUCCGACGGAGAGAUUUGAAGCCUUCACGAAUUGGGUCUUCAUUUUCCAACCAAAGCUUCUGUCAGUUCGGCAAAUCUUCUGGCUUAUUUCCUUUGUUUGACGGUGUUUGUUGCUUCUACAACAUAAAUUUGGCAUGGCUUUUGUUAGUUGGAAAGUUUGAUUUCCUACGAGGCUGCCAUUGUUUUAAAGGUGUUGACGAUGUGGAUUGAAAUGUAGCAGCAUGCGGUGUCCGACAGAGGUUUAGGUUUUUUAAUAAUUUUGUAUGAACAGGAACGGUGUAAAGUACAAAUGGUAGUACAAUUCGAAUUUCUCCAACUAAAAUAAUCUUUUAAAAGAAAAAAUGUUUAUAAUGGUAUUUGUCUAUAUAUAAAUAUACCCUUUUAAGUGAU